CCGAGCGGUGGUCGACGAAGGCGACGACGUCGCCGCUCGCGGCCGCGAGCCCGGCGUUCCGGGAGGCGUUGAUGUUCCGCUCGGGGAGUUCGAG
rnacentral:tRNA from 1 species